GAUGAACGCUGGCGGCGUGCCUAAUACAUGCAAGUCGAGCGAACAGACGAGGAGCUUGCUCCUUCGACGUUAGCGGCGGACGGGUGAGUAACACGUAGGUAACCUACCUAUAAGACUGGGAUAACUUCGGGAAACCGGAGCUAAUACCGGAUAAUAUUUCGAACCGCAUGGUUCGAUAGUGAAAGAUGGCUUUGCUAUCACUUAUAGAUGGACCUGCGCCGUAUUAGCUAGUUGGUAAGGUAACGGCUUACCAAGGCAACGAUACGUAGCCGACCUGAGAGGGUGAUCGGCCACACUGGAGCUGAGACAGGGUCCAGACUCCUACGGGAGGCAGCAGUAGGGAAUCGUCCGCAAUGGGCGAGAGCCUGACGGAGCAACGCCGCGUGAGUGAUGAAGGUCUUCGGAUCGUAAAACUCUGUUAUUAGGGAAGAACAAACGUGUAAGUAACUGUGCACGUCUUGACGGUACCUAAUCAGAAAGCCACGGCUAACUACGUG
rnacentral:rRNA from 1 species